AUUAUGUUCAAAGAACCUUGAAAUCUUCUCUUAUGGACAAGUGGAAGAAUAAACUCAUAUAAACUUUCUGGAAAGCAAGUUGGCUAGUUAUCAAGAUCCUUAAAAUGCACCAUAUCCUUUGACACAGUAAUUCUUGCCCAAGAAAUUUUUUUUAUUUCAUUAGCAGGGAAAUUUGGACACAGGCACAGAGGAAAGAAGGUCAUGUGAUGACACAGGCAGAGAUUGGAGUGGUGCAGCUGCAAGCCAAGGAAAGCCAAGGAUUUCCAGCAACCACCAGAAGCUAGAAAGAAGCAAAGAAAGAUAAUUCCCUAGAGCCGUCAAAUAGAGCACAGCCCAACUGACACUUUAACUUUGGACUUCUAUCCUCCAGCAAUAAAUAUUAGAUCACUUAGGAAUGGUAGAAAUAUCUGGUGAUGGAAUUUCAAGAAUGGGAACCUCUGGCCGGGCGUGAUGGAGACAGAGUCUCACUCUGCACCGCGCUGGCCAGAUUUUGGUCUUUCUUAUGGGAAACCUGAGUUCCUGCAUUAGAGGGAUCUGGAAAAUUGUAGAAGCUCCACAAACCCUGGAUAGGCUUUUGCAGCCAGCCGUGAGCUUAUCCCGCCCCUCUCACUCCACCUUAUCCACCCACAUUUCCAAAAACCCAGUCUUAUUUUGUGACCCAGAGUCACAAGUUCCCCAAACGUGCUCAAUACGUAUGCUCCCAACAAAUGGCAAAAUCUUAUUUGUACCAUUAACGAAAAGAAGAAGAAAAUCAUUCUGGCAUUUUGUUGAUGAUGGUUGGGAUAAGGGCAACUUCGAACUUAGAACCCUGAGUGGAACCGCUUUUUGUACUUCCUGGGAAUACCUGUUGGAAACAAGAAUUAAAGAAUGUGGUUACAGCCGGGCGCGGUGGCUCACACCUGCAAUCCCAGUACUUUGGGAGUCCGAGGCAGGCGGAUCACCUGAGGUCAGGAGUUCAAGACCAGCCUGGUCAACAUGGCGAAACCCUGUCUCUACAAAAAAUACAAAAAUUAGCCAGGGGCAGUGGCUUGUGCCUGUAAUCCCAGCUGCUCAGGAGUCUGGGGCAGGAGAAUCAUUUGAACCCAGGAGGCAGAGGUUGCAGUGAGCCAAGAUCCCACCACUGCACUCCAGCCUGGGCAACGAGAGCGAGACUCUGCCUCAAAAAAAAAAAAAAAAAAAAAAUUAAAAAAAAAGAAAGAAUGUGGUAAUUAGAGGCAAUUCAGGAUUAUCCAGUCUUCCCUUGAAGAAAUAUAUGCAAGGCUCUAAAAUGGGAGCCAGAUGGAAGGAAAAGUUGCAGGCUUACUGGGGAGGUGGGAAACACCCGGAUCCCAGUCCCACAUGUGACUUGAGAGCUGAGAGGCUGAUGACUAGAUGCCCUGCUGCCCCAGGGCUCCCUUCUGACUGAUCUGAAGGCUGGAGAUUUUCCCUACACUAUCCCUUAGCACCCAGCAUGAUGCACAAAAAACAGGAAUUCAAUAAAAAGGUUUGAGAUGUGA